rnacentral:sRNA from 1 species
AUUAUUGAUACAGUUUCUGUACUAUAUUGGUACGCGAAGCUUCCAACCCGCCUCUGGCGGUUAUGUUUGGUCAAUUCUUUUGACCGGGGUCUACGGACCC